rnacentral:rRNA from 1 species
AUUGAACGCUGGCGGAAUGCUUUACACAUGCAAGUCGAACGGCAGCACGGACUUCGGUCUGGUGGCGAGUGGCGAACGGGUGAGUAAUGUAUCGGAACGUGCCCAGUCGUGGGGGAUAACGUAGUGAAAAUUACGCUAAUACCGCAUACGAUCUAUGGAUGAAAGCGGGGGAUCGCAAGACCUCGCGCGAUUGGAGCGGCCGAUAUCAGAUUAGGUAGUUGGUGGGGUAAAGGCCCACCAAGCCAACGAUCCGUAGCUGGUCCGAGAGGACGACCAGCCUCACUGGAACUGAGACACGGUCCAGACUCCUACGGGAGGCAGCAGUGGGGAAUUUUGGACAAUGGGCGAAAGCCUGAUCCAGCCAUUCCGCGUGCAGGAUGAAGGCCCUCGGGUUGUAAACUGCUUUUGCACAGAACGAAAAGGUUUCUACUAAUACUAGGAGCUCAUGACGGUACUGUAAGAAUAAGCACCGGCUAACUACGUGCCAGCCGCCGCCGUAA